AUAAUCAUUAGUUUUUUAAUUGAAAGCUUGUAUGAAUGAUUGAAUAAAAUAUUUAUUGUCUCAUAUUUAUUUAUGUUAAAAUUUAAUUUUUAAAUUAAAAAGUUUAAAUUUUAUUAUAGGACGAGAAGACCCUAUAGAUUUUUAUAAUUAGAAUUAUAAUUUAAAUUUAAUUUAUUUAUUUAAAUUUAUUUUUGAUUGUUUUGUUGGGGUGACAUUAAAAUUAAAUUAACUUUUAGUUUAAUUUAACAUUAAUUUAUGAAAUUUUAAUAUAUAAAUAAUUUAUAUUUAUUAUUAAUUUUUGAUCCUAUUUUUUAGAUUAGUAAAUUAAAAUACCUUAGGGAUAACAGCGUAAUUUAUUUGGAGAGAUCAUAUUAAUAAAUAAGUUUGC
rnacentral:rRNA from 1 species